UGGGGAAUAUUGGACAAUGGGGGGAACCCUGAUCCAGCCAUGCCGCGUGUGUGAAGAAGGCCUUAUGGUUGUAAAGCACUUUAAGCGAGGAGGAGGGUACUGGUAUUAAUACUACCAGGUACUGGACGUUACUCGCAGAAUAAGCACCGGCUAACUCUGUGCCAGCAGCCGCGGUAAUACAGAGGGUGCGAGCGUUAAUCGGAUUUACUGGGCGUAAAGCGUGCGUAGGCGGCUAAUUGAGUCGGAUGUGAAAUCCCCGAGCUUAACUUGGGAAUUGCAUUCGAUACUGGUUAUCUAGAGUGUGAGAGAGGAUGGUAGAAUACCGGGUGUAGCGUUGAAAUGCGUAGAGAUCUGGAGGAAUACCGAUGGCGAAGGCAGCCAUCUGGCCUAACACUGACGCUGAGAUACGAAAGCAUGGGGAGCAAACAGG
rnacentral:rRNA from 1 species